UGCUUCCGUGAGGGUCUGAGGUGAGCCCUUCUGUAUGGGAGGGUUGCAAUCUCCUCCUUUAUUGGGGGAUCCUGGCCACAUUUUGAGGCUGGCAACCAUCUGUACCUGAAAACUGCUUCUUUGGGAGUGUGGGUGGCAGCAGAAAGCCAUGGUGCUCCCAAGUACUGUAAGGACUGCAUGGAGAGAUGUGCGGGUCUUCAUGGGAACAGCAAGGAACUGAAAGCUGCAUUUCCUGGGAUGCCCUGGAACCCCACUUUGCUGACUGGUAACUGUCUGCCCGGCAGGUGGCAGCAGAAAGCUGUGGUGCUCCCGAGUGCUGUAAUGACUGCACGGCGAGAUGUGCGGGUCUUCAUGGGAACAGCAAGGAACUGAAAGCUGCAUUUCCUGGGAUGCCCUGGAACCCCACUUUGCUGACUGGUAACUGUCUGCCCGGCAGGUAAGGACAAUGCACACCCACCAGUGUUUACCCCUUACUGAGUGAGACACAAGGUAGGGUUCCCAGAGCUCCUUUCUGCACUUCAGGGUGCCCCGAAGGCUGCCUGUCCUAUUCUUUGCAUGUUCUCCUUGGCUCUGGCCUUUCACUGCGGUGUUCUCCUUCCCUUUGCCCUUGGCGUUCCCUACUGCAUUCUCUUGCCCUCCUGUUUUUGCAUUCCAUGUCAUGUUCUCUUGGCCAUUGCCCUUGGCCUUCUUUGCGGCAUUCUCUUUGGCCUCCGGUUUUGGCAUUCCCUGCAGCGUUCUCUUUGGCCAUCACUUCUGAUGUUCCCUGCAGUGUUCUAUUUGGCCUUAGGUUUUCGCCAUCCAUGCCACGUUCUCCUGGCCAUUGUGCUUGGCCGCCUUUGCCACAUUCUCUUUGGCGUUCCCUUCCAUGUUCUCUUUGACCUUUGCCCUUGGCCUUCUUUGCCGUGCUCCUUUCAGCCUCCUGUUCUGGCAUUCUCUGCAACGAUCUCUUUGGCCUUUGGUUUUGGCAUUCCUUGUUGCGUUCUGUUUGGUCUUUGCCUUUGGCCUUCUUGUUUUGGCAUUCCCUACAGCGUUCUCUUUGGCCUUUGGUUUUGACCUUCUGUGCUGCAUUCUCUUUGGCCAUUGCCCUUGGCCUCCUGCAUCGGCUUUCCCUGCAGCGUUCUCAUGGAUCUUGCCCUCCAUUUUGGCCUUGCCACGGUGUUCUCUUUGGUCUGUUUUGUUCUCUGAGGCCCUCUCUUUGGGCCUGGCCUCUGAGGAGGUCUUCUCUUUGGUGUUCUCCAUAUCUUUGCUUUCCCUUUGCCUUUGACGUUGCCUUCCCUUGGUUGUUGUCUAUGCCUUUGCCCUCGGUUUUGGUGUUCCCUUGGGUGUUGUUGCCUUUGCCUUGGCCUUCCCUAACAGUCACCUUGAGCAUAACCCUAAUAAACCUAACCCUAAUACCUUCACCCCAACCCUAAUGAGCUCUGAACUCCAAACAUAGUGCUAAUGUGACGCAACGCCCUCAGCAAACUUACCAAGGGUGCACUCCAUGCCAUCAGGCAGGUCUUCAAUGACGAUAUUGGACAGAACAGGCCUGAAGAGCACUCAGGAUGGCAUACCAGCUGCAUUUAACACGAUUGAGCAGCACUCAUUAGGCCAGGCAGUUCAGCUAGUUCUUCAUCUAGCAAGCAAUGUACCCGUCCAAGUAGCCGGCUGCAAUCUUUCAGAGAAUUUUAAGGGAUAGCACAUCAAAGGGUUUGCCUCACUCAUGGGGUUGGGUCACCUUUGCUUUGAGUUUGCUACCGUGGCUGACCCUAAUCCUGUAACUGACAUCCUGUAGCUGGACAGAGACCAUUCACACUCCAUCCAGGCUGUUUGAGACUCACAGCCAUGCUGAGAGUCACACUGAUUUCAGCGUGUGCAGUCAUUUUGCAUCAACCCAAUUGGCUUUAGCUUUACAAAUAAUUUGAUCUCAACCAAAUUGGCUUUAGCUUUGCAGUUAAUGCAUUGCAAAUAAGUUGGCUUUAGCUUUGCCUUGCUUACGGGGUUGGGUUAGCUUUGCUUUGUUUGUUUGUAC
ensembl:lncRNA